UGGGAAUUGGCGAGGGGCACACUAGGGGGGAUUUCUGCUGAGGGACUUGAGACAGUCCAGUUAGCAACCAAGUACACCAUAAUGGGAGAUGCAGUAUUUACUCUUGAUGAGGCUUUACCCGAGGCUGACUGUUUAAGAGUUGAUACUGACAGUGAGCAAGGUUAACUACAAGCCGGUGUUUUCAGCUUAAUCCAAGUAUGCAGUCACACUGGACCAGAUACUUUCAGGACAGAAUCAGACAGAAGGAGGAAAUUAGCCCUGCACAGGACCCUAGACCUUUGUAUGGCACAACCAAGUACACAUCCAGACCCAAUUAAAUGAGGUUAAUUUAGAGUUGCUAAUUACAUAACCUGGAUGUCUUUGUGGUGGAGGCGGAAAACUAAAACACCAAAAGAAUGUCCUUAUUCCACACAGACAGUGACCAGGCGAGAAUUUAAAACCCAUCUGUUUAUUUAAUCAGGCUAUAAUGAAAGGGUAAUGUGGAUAAGUGACCUUAGAAAUUACCUUUAUAUCUUGA